GCGGGUAUGGUGAAAUUGGUAAACACGCUGGAUUUAGGUUCCAGUGCUCACGCUUGCGGGUUCGAGUCCCGCUACCCGUACCA
rnacentral:tRNA from 1 species